UGGUUGCUAUAAAAUAAAAAAAUAAAACCAUCAGCAUGAUUUAAAAAAGGACAAUGCUUGGCUCCUAAUAUAUCAGGAGCCAUUCCUCCUCAACGGCUAACAUGACUUCUUUAAAAAACAACACUUGUUUUUUUUUUCUCUCAACCCCUUUAACUCAAGUCUUUUGCUGGUUUUUUUAUCUUGGGUGAGUUAAGGAGAGAGAGACGAAGGCGGGGGAGGGUGACUUGCAGGUUUUUUUUCUUUUAAAAAAUAAAAAGAAUUUUCAUGGUUGUUGAAGAUAGGAGGAGGAGAGGGAGAAGGAGAAGGAGGAGAAAACUUACAUGCUAAAUAGAGUUGAAACCAAAAAAAUUUGCCCGUGCCGUUCUAGCCACACCAAGUUAGGCUAAAGUGGAAAAAAAAAAAAAAUGGCCAGAGACACCAUACUAAGCCAGCCAAAAUGGAAAUAAAAUGAAGAUCUAUCUUCAGUUGAUAUGAGGAUCGUGGAAAAAAAAAAUGGAAAAAAGGUUGUCUUUAUUUCAUCAAAUUUCCUAAAUUAUAAGUUGGAAAAAGAAAGAAAGAAAAAACAGCAAGACAGAGGAAGAAAGAAGAAGGGAAAAACAAAAGAAAUGGUUGAAGGACGAAAGAGGGUAAUAACCACCUGGCGGAGAGAGGAGGAAGAACGUUUUAAUAUUUUACUAUUUUAACCUAUACAUUAUAUCUAUUUCUUAUAAUAAUUUUACAUUACAAGGCACCGCCCCUGCCUUCGUCUUUUCCCGCUUAAAACUAACCCAAGUUAAAGAAAACCAACAAAAAAAACUUGAGUUAAAGGAGGUUUUUUUUUUUAAAAAAAAAAUUUUAAAUUUUAUUUUUUAAAAUCUUUUCUAUUGAAAGAGGCGUAGUAUAUUAAACUCACACACACAACACGGAUGCUAGAACUCUAACUCAGG
rnacentral:lncRNA from 1 species